CAGCCGUAAACUAUGCGCGUUAGGUGUAUCGGUGACCACGAGUUACCGAGGUGCCGAAGGGAAACCGUGAAACGUGCCGCCUGGGAAGUACGGUCGCAAGGCUGAAACUUAAAGGAAUUGGCGGGGGAGCACCACAACAGGUGGAGCCUGCGGUUUAAUUGGACUCAACACCGGGAAGCUCACCGGAUAGGACAGCAGAAUGAUUGCCGGGCUGAAGACCCUGCAUGACUAGCUGAGAGGAGGUGCAUGGCGUAGACUCU
rnacentral:rRNA from 1 species